rnacentral:rRNA from 1 species
AUCGAACGCUGGCGGCAUGCCUUACACAUGCAAGUCGAACGGUAACAGGUCUUCGGAUGCUGACGAGUGGCGAACGGGUGAGUAAUACAUCGGAACGUGCCUAGUAGUGGGGGAUAACUACUCGAAAGAGUGGCUAAUACCGCAUGAGAUCUACGGAUGAAAGCAGGGGAUCGCAAGACCUUGUGCUACUAGAGCGGCCGAUGGCAGAUUAGGUAGUUGGUGGGAUAAAAGCUUACCAAGCCGACGAUCUGUAGCUGGUCUGAGAGGACGAUCAGCCACACUGGGACUGAGACACGGCCCAGACUCCUACGGGAGGCAGCAGUGGGGAAUUUUGGACAAUGGGCGCAAGCCUGAUCCAGCAAUGCCGCGUGCAGGAUGAAGGCCUUCGGGUUGUAACCUGCUUUUGUACGGAACGAAAAGCCCUGGGUUAAUACCCUGGGGUCAUGACGGUACCGUAAGAAUAAGCACCGGCUAACUACGUGCCAGCCGCCGCUGUAAUAC